rnacentral:lncRNA from 1 species
CGGGCAUUUUAGAAUGGGCUGCUGAGUGCAGAAUGCUUUCUUUUUUUUUAUUUUUUAUUUUUUUUAUUUUUAUUUUUUUAAAUAUUUAUUUAUUUAUUUUAGUUUUUCGGCGGACACAACAUCUUUGUUUGUAUGUGGUGCAGAGGAUCGAACCCGGGCCGCACGCAUGCCAGGCGAGCGUGCUACCGCUUGAGCCACAUCCCCAGCCCUGCAGAAUGCUUUCUAUGAAGAAAGCUUGGUGGUGGUCCUGGGGUGCUGGGAGGUGCAGUGCCCAGGUGAGUGAUGUCAGUGCCCUGAGCCAGGUAGGUGGUGAUGCAGAAGGAAGGACGUGGCCACGUGUGCAGGAGACAUUGAGGAGCAGCCUGGCCAGGGCUGAAUGGGGGAGUCAGAGUCCAAGUCUCAACCUGCAGGGACUCUGUGGACAGACGUGCUGUUCCCUGGAGGUAGGGAGGAAAGAGCAGGUUUUGGGAAAGACUGGGGUUCUGUGUUGGAUUGGUCGAGUGAGUUGGGUCCAGGUGGAAAGUUGUACAGUUUAGGGUUCCAGAAAGAGGGAGUGGUUUGUGCAGUCGGCCACAAAGGGAGGCUGCACCCUCUUGGAUGACAUAUGAAGAGGAAGUGUCCACUGGGGGAGUGGCUGGAGGACGCUGGACUCUAGCAGCCUUGGCUUGGGUCAAGCAGUGAACGGAAGUGAAACCAGAAGUGGAGUGCAGAUUUCUCUGUCAAGAAGUUUGGAGGGAGAGCAACAGUGCUGCUGCUGGGAGCCUCACAGAUGCCUUAGUGUUUUCUUAUUUGAAGUUGGAAAGGAUUCAAGUCCUUUGGAAUUUGGAAGGAAGGAUCCAGAAGAGAGGGAGGUUGGCAAUACAGGUAGGGCAAGGGGAUGGCAUGGAGCCCAGGUGGUUGAGGAAGGGAGCCUCUUCCUUUGUAACAGGCAAGGAAAGCAGAAUCCAGCUUGGAUGCCAGGGGGCUGGGAAUGAGAGUUCCCAGGCAAUGGCUUCUAUUUUCUCCAAAAAGUGGCAGGGGGAGAUCCCUGGAUGGUUCUGGAAACUGUGAAUUGGCCAUAGAGUGGGGACCUUGGAAGACUGGGGGCAUUUGAAAUGCCACUGAGGGGAAUGGGCAGGGAGCACAGGAAACAGGGCUGCUGGCAUGAGUGAGAGCCCAUCUGAGGGUGGAGAUCAGCAAUCUGCAGUGGCUCCAACCUGGCCUUCAGCAAGAUGGCUAUAGGGUUUUUCCAGACAGAGGUGACAGGAAAAUCCUAUGGGCUGGAAGUCAGUGAUAACUGGUGACUGGGCACCGGGAAGGUAAGAAGGGAAGAAAUAGAAAGGUCAGUGCACUGGGUGGGAGGAGAGGACUCCAUGCCAGGGAAGAAUCUGGAAGUCCCCAUCUUAGUUCAUUGGGCUGUUAUAACAAAAUGCAUUAUUUAUUUAUUUUUGCAGUGCUGGGGAUUAAAUCUAGGACACUGUGCGCGUUAAGCAUCCCCAGCCCUAGACUGGGUAAUUUAUAAACAGGAAUUUAUUGCUCACAGUUCUAGAGGCUGGGAAGUUCAAGGUCAAGGUGCCAGCAGAUUUGGUGUCUGGUGAGGUUCUGUUCCUCAGAGUGGUGCCUUUUAGUCAUGUACUCUUUUGUUAGGAGUGGGGAACAACCUUUUUCAGGCCUCUCUCUUUUGAAAAAAAAUUUAUUAAAACAAAAAUUUUUUUUGGCAGGGCCUAAUACAUGCUGGGUUUUAGGACUCAAUCUCUCAGUCUCUCUCUCUCUCUCUCUCUCUCUCUCUCUCUGGUACCAGAAAUUGAACUCAGGGAGACUCAGUUACUGAGCCACAUCCCCAGCCCUAUUUUGUAUUCUAUUAGAGACAGGGUCUCACUGAAUUGCUAAGCGCCUUGCUGUUGCUAAGGCUAGCUUUGAACUUAUGAUCCUCCUGUCUCAGCCUCCUGAGCUGCUGGGAUUACAGGUGGGCGCCACCACACCCUGCU